CCCUCAGCGCGCCGUGGCUCCCGCCUCUCCCUGCCGAGGCCCGUCCGUUCGCUGGGGCCGGCGCUCCCCACGCCCCCUUUCCAGCCCAGCCGGGCUCCUGUCAGGGCGCCGAUGGCCGCCGGCAUCAUCCGGCGGCUGGAUGAGGCCGUGGUGAACCGCAUCGCGGCCGGAGAGGUCAUCCAGAGACCGGCGAACGCCAUCAAAGAGAUGAUCGAGAACUGUUUGGAUGCUAAAUGUACAAGUAUCCAGGUGGUAGUGAAAGAAGGUGGUCUGAAGCUCAUCCAGGUGCAGGAUAAUGGCUGUGGCAUCAGAAAGGAAGAUCUGAACAUUGUGUGUGAGAGAUUUACUACGAGUAAGCUGCAGAAAUUUGAAGACUUGGCUAGUAUUUCUACCUAUGGUUUUCGGGGUGAGGCACUGGCUAGCAUCAGUCAUGUUGCCCAUGUUACAGUGACAACUAAAACAGCUGAUGCAAAGUGUGCAUACAGAGCUACUUACAGCGAUGGAAAAAUCAAAGCUCCUCCAAAACCCUGUGCUGGGAACCAAGGAACUCAGAUCACGGUUGAAGAUCUCUUUUACAAUGUAAUAACAAGGAGAAAAGCUUUAAAAAAUCCAAACGAAGAAUAUGCAAAAAUACUGGAAGUUUGUGGCAGGUAUGCCAUCCAUAACUCAGGCAUCAGCUUUUCAGUUAAAAAGCAAGGUGAAACCGUGUCAGAUGUUAGAACCUUAUCAAACGCCUCAACAGUGGACAACAUCAGAUCCAUCUUUGGGAAUGCUGUUAGCAGGGAGCUGAUAGAAGUGGACUGUGAGGAUGCGAGCCUGGCCUUUAAAAUGAAAGGCUACAUCACAAAUGCAAACUACUCUGUGAAGAAAUGUAUAUUUCUACUCUUCAUAAACCACCGGUUGGUGGAGUCGGCCGCCCUGCGGAAAGCCAUAGAGACUGUCUAUGCUGCUUACCUGCCAAAAGGCACACAUCCCUUCCUCUACUUAAGCCUGGAAAUAGUCCCCCAGAAUGUAGAUGUGAACGUGCACCCUACAAAACACGAGGUCCAUUUCCUCCAUGAAGACAGUAUUCUAGAGCGUGUACAGCAGCACAUAGAGAGCAAGUUACUGGGCUCCAACUCUUCAAGGAUGUACUUCACUCAGACCUUGCUUCCCGGGGCUGACUGCUCCUCCAGCGAGGUGGUGAAGCCAGCAGCAAACUCCUCCGCGGCCGCCAAAGGAGCCAGUGACAAAGUGUACGCGCACCAGAUGGUGCGCACCGAUUCCCGGGAGCAGAAGCUGGACGCUUUCCUGCAGCCGGCAAACAACCCCCUGAGCACAGCCCCCGGGGAGGCGCCAGCCCAGGGCAGUGCCAGGCCCAGGGACGGGGCAGCCGGGCCCCAGGACGUCGAGAUGGCAGAUGUGGGUGCUCCGGUGGAAGCGACCCCCCGUGCUCAGGAGGACACAGCGGUGUCCGCGGCGCUGGGGGACAGCGGACACUUGUCUCCUGAGGCAGCGCUGCCUCGGAAGAGGCCACGGGAAGACGCAGACACAGAAAUGGAGGAAGAUGACAGCAGGAAGGACAUGACUGCUGCCUGCACCCCUCGAAGAAGAAUUAUCAACCUGACCAGCGUGUUGACUCUGCAGGAGGAAAUCAGUAGCCAGGCACAUGCAAGUCUUCAGGAGAUGCUAAGGGACCACUCUUUUGUGGGCUGUGUCAGUCCUCAGUGGGCGCUGGCCCAGUAUCAGACAAAACUGUAUCUUCUCAAUACAACAAAACUCAGCCAGGAACUCUUCUACCAGAUACUUAUUUAUGACUUCGCAAACUUCGGAGUCUUAAGGUUGUCUGUAAGUACAAUUUUACAUUAUAUCCUACGUAAAACCAUUUUAAAAGCAUUUCUUUCCAAGAAGCCUGUCCUCUCAGGGAAAUGCACAGUUUCACACCUUGAGUUUUGUCCACUCCAAGACUGAUGUUGCAUUUCUUCUACAGUAAGAAUAAAACGUAGAAUUACUGGUGUGCUUUGGAGCUUGGCUGUGAUGAGCAGAACUGUUUGCUCCGCAGGCCAGAGAUGGAGCCAGCUCCUGUAUAUGAACUUUCAAUGCUUGCUUUAGAGGACCCUGAAAGUGGCUGGACAGAAGAAGAUGGCCCAAAAGAAGGGCUCGCUGAGUACAUUGUGGAGUUCCUCAAAAAGAAGACUGAAAUGUUGAAAGAUUAUUUUUCUCUUGAAAUCGAUGAGGAAGGAAACCUCGUUGGGUUGCCGCUUUUGAUAGACAACUAUGUUCCGCCGCUGGAAGGACUGCCCAUGUUCGUCCUUCGUCUGGCCACAGAGGUAAACUGGGAUGAAGAAAAGCCAUGUUUUGAAAGCCUAAGCAAAGAACUAGCGCUGUUCUACUCCAUUAGGAAGCAAUACGUGAUAGAUGAAGCCAACCCCACAAACUCUCAGACUGAAGAUUCUGACUCUGGCUCAACAAAGUGGAAAUGGACUGUGGAACAUGUACUUUACAAAGCUUUUAGGACUCAUCUUUUACCUCCUAAACACUUUGCAGAAGACGGCAACAUUUUGCAGCUUGCUAACCUGCCUGACCUGUAUAAAGUUUUUGAGAGAUGUUGAGCAAGACUGGGGUGUAUCAAAAACCAUUCGUGCUGCAUUCUGUUCUACUGAGUAGAGGAGAAAGCUGGAAUAUUCCUGGAGGAAAGAAGAAGAGGGGAUUUAAUAUCAUACUAACAGGAUAGCAAAUGAUCUGGUUUCCAUCUGUUGAUGAAAGGAGGAAAAGAAUUGUUUUAGCUAUGUGUAAACCCAACUGAAGUGCCUGAGAUCAAAUGCACUUACACUCAGUGUCACUGUUAAGCAGGAUGCUAACAGAAUACAACUCUGACUGAAGAAAAAUUACUGGGUUUAAGUGAAAGGAGAGGGAUCUUAAUUGAAACGUGAGGGCUUCAACUUUGCUUCUUGAAAACAAUACAGGUUAUGCACCUCCUUGUGGUUUA